CAGUCGCCACGGGAAUACGUAGGUGGCAAGCGUCGUCCGGAAUUAUUGGGCGUAAAGGGCUCGCAGGCGGUUUCUUAAGUCUGAUGUGAAAGCCCCCGGCUCAACCGGGGAGGGUCAUUGGAAACUGGGAAACUUGAGUGCAGAAGAGGAGAGUGGAAUUCCACGUGUAGCGGUGAAAUGCGUAGAGAUGUGGAGGAACACCAGUGGCGAAGGCGACUCUCUGGUCUGUAACUGACGCUGAGGAGCGAAAGCGUGGGGAGCGAACAGGAUUAGAUACCCCAGUAGUCCCUGUCUCUUAUAC
rnacentral:rRNA from 1 species